rnacentral:rRNA from 1 species
AUACGGAGGAUACAAGCGUUAUCCGGAUUUAUUGGGUUUAAAGGGUGCGCAGGCGGACUAAUAAGUCAGAGGUGAAAUUUUGCAGCUUAACUGUAAACGUGCCUUUGAUACUGCCGGACUAGAGUUUAAGAGACGUAAUUGGAAUGUGAUGUGUAGCGGUGAAAUGCUUAGAUAUAUCACAGAACGCCGAUCGUGAAGACAGAUUACGAACUUAAUACUGACGCUCAUGCACGAAAGCGUGGGGAUC